rnacentral:lncRNA from 1 species
ACUGGGGUGCUAGUUUUCUUACAAAGAUUGCAUCUUGAUGGUUGAAAAUCUUCUUUUCUCCUAAGACACUUGUUGGUGCAAAAUUCCAUCGAUGCUGGAGAAGCUAGAGUCGAGGGGAUUGUGGCCGCCGUCGGAACCUGCAAGAAAAGUCUAAACCGGAGUUGGGGGUUCUCCAGUAAGACUCUCCGAUGCUCAAGUCAGUACUC